GAUGAACGCUGGCGGCGUGCCUAACACAUGCAAGUCGAGCGCUCUUCUUCGGACGAGAGCGGCGGACGGGGGAGUAACGCGUGGGUAACCUGCCCUGUACACACGGAUAACAUACCGCCAGGUAUGCUAAUACGGGAUAAAAUACGAGAGCUGCAUGGCUUUUAUAUCAAAGACUUAUCGGUACAGGAUGGACCCGCGUCUGAUUAGCUAGUUGGUAAGGUAAUGGCUUACCAAGGCGACGAUCAGUAGCCGACCUGAGAGGGUGAUCGGCCACACUGGAACUGAGACACGGUCCAGACUCCUACGGGAGGCAGCAGUGGGGAAUAUUGCACAAUGGGCGAAAGCCUGAUGCAGCAACGCCGCGUGAGCGAUGAAGGCCUUCGGGUCGUAAAGCUCUGUCCUCAAGGAAGAUAAUGACGGUACUUGAGGAGGAAGCCCCGGCUAACUACGUGCCAGCAGCCGCAGUAACAC
rnacentral:rRNA from 1 species